rnacentral:rRNA from 1 species
UACGGAGGGAGCUAGCGUUUGUUCGGAAUUACUGGGCGUAAAGCGCACGUAGGCGGCUUUGUAAGUUAGAGGUGAAAGUCCGGGGCUCAACUCCGGAUCUGCGGUGGGUACGGGCAGACUAGAGUGAUGUAGGGGAGACUGGAAUUCCUGGUGUAGCGGUGAAAUGCGCAGAUAUCAGGAGGAACACCGGUGGCGAAGGCGGCUCACUGGCCCGGUACUGACGCUGAGGCACGAAAGCGUGGGGAGCAAACAGG